rnacentral:rRNA from 1 species
AGAGUUUGAUCCUGGCUCAGGAUGAACGCUAGCUACAGGCUUAACACAUGCAAGGUACGAGGGGAAACGAUAUUGGAAGCUUGCUUCCGAUAGGCGUCGACCGGCGUACGGGUGAGUAACGCGUAUCCAACCUGCCCACCACUUGGGGAUAACCUUGACGAAAGUAAGACUAAUACCCAAUGACGUCUCUAGAAGACAUCUGAAAGAGAUUAAAGAUUUAUCGGUGAUGGAUGGGGAUGCGUCUGAUUAGCUUGUUGGCGGGGUAACGGCCCACCAAGGCGACGAUCAGUAGGGGUUCUGAGAGGAAGGCCCCCCACAUUGGAACUGAGGCACGGUCCAAACUCCUACGGGAGGCAGCA